UCGAACGGAUCUGGUAGCAAUAUCAGAUUAGUGGCGUAAGGGUGAGUAAGGCGACGGCAACCAACCCCAAGGUUGGGCAUAGCCGCGGGAAACUGCGGGUAAUUCCCAGCGAUGUUCGUACCGGGCAUCCGGUGUGAACCAAAGUUCUGGCGCCGUGGGACGGGCCGUCGUGGUAUUAGGUAGUUGGCGGGGUAAUGGCCCACCAAGCCUCUGAUGCCUACCGGGCGUGCGAGCGUGGCCCGGCACACUGGGACUGAGACACUGCCCAGACUCCUACGGGAGGCUGCAGUCGAGAAUCUUCGGCAAUGGGCGCAAGCCUGACCGAGCGACGCCGCGUGGAGGAUGAAGGCCUUCGGGUUGUAAACUCCUGUCGAGGGGGAGGAAGGCGUAAGCUUGACCUAUCCCUGGAGGAAGCACGGGCUAAGUUCGUGCCAGCAGCCGCGGUAAGACGAACCGUGCGAACGUUAUUCGGAAUCACUGGGCUUAAAGCGCGUGUAGGCGGAUGGGGACGUCGGUUGCUGAAAUCCCCCGGCUCAACCGGGGAACGGGCACCGAAACGCCCCGUCUGGAGGGACGUAGGGGGACCUGGAACUUCCGGUGGAGCGGUGAAAUGCGUUGAGAUCGGAAGGAACGCCCGUGGCGAAAGCGAGGUCCUGGACGUUUUCUGACGCUGAG
rnacentral:rRNA from 1 species